GCCGCAGGUCACGCAGGGUGCCGGACCGUCGCUCUUGUAAAGCGGGGGUCGUCGGUUCGAACCCGACAGGGGGCU
rnacentral:tRNA from 1 species